AAAACAUCAGAUGAUGAUGAUAAUGAGGAUGAUGAUGAUGAUGAUUUCACGUGGGUGAAGAACAACAAGGUCCUCUCAGAGCAGCUGUGGAGGGCUGUGAAGGGCCUUUGAGGACCACUGCCGCUGCCAGAGAGAGGGGAGGAGGGGGAAAACAAUCAACAACAACAACAACAGCAGCAACAUAACGUCCACAGCUAAAAAUAAACAAUGAGUCGCCACCGUGUACGAGGAGAAGGAAGACAAUCAGGAGCCGGCGUAGAAGAAGAAGAAGAAGAAGUGUAACAAGUCUCAGGAGUCUCUGCUCGCAGUACUCUGUACCCCUGCAAGUGAUAGAUGAGGAGUGGCUCACUGGAACUCUUCUACAGACUUUGCCUUGGAGAAAGUGCUUGUCAACCGAGGGCUAAAUUGGAAAAAAAAGAAGUCUGAAAAUGAGUCAACAUGAAA